UACGUAGGGUGCAAGCGUUGUCCGGAAUUAUUGGGCGUAAAGAGCUCGUAGGCGGUUUGUCGCGUCUGCUGUGAAAACGCGGGGCUCAACUCCGCGCCUGCAGUGGGUACGGGCAGACUAGAGUGCAGUAGGGGAGACUGGAAUUCCUGGUGUAGCGGUGGAAUGCGCAGAUAUCAGGAAGAACACCCGUGGCGAAGGCGGCUCUCUGGGACGGUACUGACGCUGAGACGCGAAAGCGUGGGGAGCGAACAGG
rnacentral:rRNA from 1 species